GACGAAGGAUGCAAGCGUUAUCCGGAUUCAUUGGGUUUAAAGGGAGCGUAGGUGGCCUUAUAAGUCAGUGGUGAAAUCUCUCAGCUUAACUGAGAAUUGUCCACUUGAUACUGUAGGGCUUGAGUACAGAUGCCGUUGGCGGAAUAUGACAUGUAGUGGUGAAAUACAUAGAGAUGUCAUAGAACACCGAUCGCGAAGGCAGCUGACGAAACUGUAACUGACACUGAGGCUCGAAAGUGCGGGGAUCAAACAGG
rnacentral:rRNA from 1 species